AAUUAGAUGGGUAGUUUUAACGUUUCAUAUCACUUUACAGUUUCACAAUUUCUCUCUCAUAUUCUCUGGGCUAUGGGACAGUCCUUUGGACAGAGCUUAGAGUCAACAAAACUCCAAGCCUUGAGGAAAAUGGCUGGAACCAGCAAGGCAACUGACCUGGGAAGAAUCUUGCUUUGUUGUGGCGAACCAACUGCGACUGUGACAGUGUAUUGACAGUGAUGAAGGGAAUCGAACCUGGCAACUUCAGAACCUCAAGCAUGAAUGUCUUUUUGCAUAACCACUAAGCUGUCUCCCUCCCCUCACCCACACUAGUUUCAGAGUCAAACCAACUAAAGUCACUGCAAAAUA